rnacentral:rRNA from 1 species
GAGAAAGCUUGCUUUCUUGCUGACGAGCGGCGGACGGGUGAGUGAUGUAUGGGGAUCUGCCCGAUAGAGGGGGAUAACUACUGGAAACGGUGGCUAAUACCGCAUAAUGUCUACGGACCAAAGCAGGGGCUCUUCGGACCUUGCACUAUCGGAUGAACCCAUAUGGGAUUAGCUAGUAGGUGGGGUAAAGGCUCACCUAGGCGACGAUCUCUAGCUGGUCUGAGAGGAUGAUCAGCCACACUGGGACUGAGACACGGCCCAGACUCCUACGGGAGGCAGCAGUGGGGAAUAUUGCACAAUGGGCGCAAGCCUGAUGCAGCCAUGCCGCGUGUAUGAAGAAGGCCUUAGGGUUGUAAAGUACUUUCAGCGGGGAGGAAGGUGAUAAGGUUAAUACCCUUAUCAAUUGACGUACCCGCAGAAGAGCACCGCA